UGCAGCGACGCCGCGUGAGGGACGACGGCCUAUCGGGUUGUAAACCUCUUUCAGCACAGACGAAGCGCAAGUGACGGUAUGUGCAGAAGAAGGACCGGCCAACUACGUGCCAGCAGCCGCGGUAAUACGUAGGGUCCGAGCGUUGUCCGGAAUUACUGGGCGUAAAGAGCUCGUAGGUGGUUUGUCGCGUUGUUCGUGAAAACUCACAGCUCAACUGUGGGCGUGCGGGCGAUACGGGCAGACUAGAGUACUGCAGGGGAGACUGGAAUUCCUGGUGUAGCGGUGGAAUGCGCAGAUAUCAGGAGGAACACCGGUGGCGAAGGCGGGUCUCUGGGCAGUAACUGACGCUGAGGAGCGAAAGCGUGGGGAGCGAACAGGAUUAGAUACCCUGGUAGUCCACGCCGUAAACGGUGGGUACUAGGUGUGGGUUUCCUUCCUUGGGAUCCGUGCCGUAGCUAACGCAUUAAGUACCCCGCCUGGGGAGUACGGCCGCAAGGCUAAAACUCAAAGAAAUUGACGGGGGCCCGCACAAGCGGCGGAGCAUGUGGAUUAAUUCGAUGCAACGCGAAGAACCUUACCUGGGUUUGACAUGCACAGGACGUGCCUAGAGAUAGGUAUUCCCUU
rnacentral:rRNA from 1 species